AUACGAGGGGUGCAAGCGUUAAUCGGAAUUACUGGGCGUAAAGCGUUCGUAGGCGGUCUAUUAAGCAAGAUGUGAAAGCCCAGGGCUCAACCUUGGAACUGCAUUUUGAACUGGUAGACUAGAGUACUGUAGAGGGUGGUGGAAUUUCCAGUGUAGCGGUGAAAUGCGUAGAGAUUGGAAGGAACAUCAGUGGCGAAGGCGGCCACCUGGACAGAUACUGACGCUGAGGAACGAAAGCGUGGGGAGCGAACAGGAUUAGAUACCCCAGUAGUCC
rnacentral:rRNA from 1 species